rnacentral:rRNA from 1 species
AAGCCGUGCGGCGUGCUAUACAUGCAGUCGAGCGGACAGAUGGGAGCUUGCUCCCUGAUGUUAGCGGCGGACGGGUGAGUAACACGUGGGUAACCUGCCUGUAAGACUGGGAUAACUCCGGGAAACCGGGGCUAAUACCGGAUGGUUGUUUGAACCGCAGGUUCAAACAUAAAAGGUGGCUUCGGCUACCACUUACAGAUGGACCCGCGGCGCAUUAGCUAGUUGGUGAGGUAACGGCUCACCAAGGCGACGAUGCGUAGCCGACCUGAGAGGGUGAUCGGCCACACUGGACUGAGACACGGCCCAGACUCCUACGGGAGGCAGCAGUAGGGAAUCUUCCGCAAUGGCGAAAGUCUGACGGAGCAACGCCGCGUGAUGAUGAAGGUUUUCGGAUCGUAAAGCUCUGUUGUUAGGGAAGAACAAGUACCGUUCGAAUAGGGCGGUACCUUGACGGUACCUAACCAGAAAGCCACGGCUAACUACGUGCCAGCAGCCGCGGUAAUACGUAGGUGGCAAGCGUUGUCCGGAAUUAUUGGGCGUAAAGGGUCGCAGGCGGUUUCUUAAGUCUGAUGUGAAAGCCCCCGGCUCAACCGGGGAGGGUCAUUGGAAACUGGGGAACUUGAGGCAGAAGAGGAGAGUGGAAUUCCACGUGUAGCGGUGAAAUGCGUAGAGAUGUGGAGGAAACCAGUGGCGAAGGCGACUCUCUGGUCUGUAACUGACGCUGAGGAGCGAAAGCGUGGGGAGCGAACAGGAUUAGAUACCCUGGUAGUCCACGCCGUAAACGAUGAGUGCUAAGUGUUAGGGGGUUUCCGCCCCUUAGUGCUGCAGCUAACGCAUUAAGCACUCCGCCUGGGGAGUACGGUCGCAAGACUGAAACUCAAAGGAAUUGACGGGGGCCCGCACAAGCGGUGGAGCAUGUGGUUUAAUUCGAAGCAACGCGAAGAACCUUACCAGGUCUUGACAUCCUCUGACAUCCUAGAGAUAGGACGUCCCCUUCGGGGGCAGAGUGACAGGUGUGCAUGGUGUCGUCAGCUCGUGUCGUGAGAUGUUGGGUUAAGUUCCG